CCGUUUUCUUUAUCAAUGCUCUCUGUAAAUAAUUACCUUGUAUUUGCUGUCUUUUUUUUUUUUUUUUUUCUUUAAAUGUUAUAAUA